UAAAGAAUUACAAACCUUUAGACGCGAGCGCCGACACACGCAGGUAGUCAUCACGUGACCUUGUGCAUGCUCACCUGUGUGUCGGGUGAUUGUCGAAGGUAUUUUUGCGCGCGGAAGGUUGGGGUUUGUUCAGGAGAAAAGACAUGAUAGUUUUGUGGAAAUUUAAUUUGUUUCUUUCAAAACACAUUGAUUUAUAUUUUACAAGAUGGCGAGUUGUAACUUUUGGAACAAUCGACUUAACAUGUCUGAAUAUUACCGACGCUUCGCAUGCUCUACUUUUGGAAGGUGAUGUUUGUUAGUUGUGUUACCAUGGACAGCUGUCCUAGAGACUGUUAAAAGGCUUGUGAAUAAUCCGAUUAGUCAGAACGAGGGUGUGAACAAGAAGAGUCCGGGUGUCAGGUCUCAUCUCCAGCAGUCGUUAAAAGCGUAGAUUACAAGUCUUUUAUAUAGAAGCUGAACUCUCGGCCCUACACACGGGCCGACUACAUCUCUGUCUCCACGAAGUGUCGUUUCAUCCUAGUGAAGUUGCCUUUGUUUAGUAAAGGACCAGCAGCUAACAUGGGAUUUAAGAAGCCUCACAUCGUUGUUGUCUUGGGUCUCGUCGCCUUAGUCGUCGCGCUCAUAUUUCAAAUCAUCGCCGUGGCGGCUACAGGCUGGUACACAGUAAAAAACACUGAUGACACCUACGGGCUCUGGGGUAUUUGUACUCAGGGUAUUUGCUUGGAUUACAUGUCUGCGGAUGAUACAAUAAAAGCAACUCGAGCCUUUGCCCUCCUCGGCCUUUUUUUCAUCAUCUUUGCUCUCGCCGCUGGCAUCCUCAUCAUGUUUAUUGAUAAGAAAGUGAUGAACCUAAUUGCUGGCGGAGUAGCCAUCUCUGCAGAUUGGGAAUUUCAUGGAAUGCGAUUUGGUUUGACAUCAGUUGAAGUGUGGCUCCUUCAUAAUUUUGUAUUUUGUAAUAAAGCUCUUUGAAAAUCCGGUGUACAUCUGUGUGCGUUUAUGUCUGAGAACAUUGUCCCGUCUGUAGCAUCAGUAUGAAGCUGCUGCGGUCAAACAUAAAUUUCAUGUCCGCCAGAGUGCUGAGCAAACGGUUGG
rnacentral:misc_RNA from 1 species